rnacentral:rRNA from 1 species
AAUGGGCGACAGCUGAUGCAGCGACGCCGCGUGAGGGAUGACGGCCUUCGGGUUGUAAACCUCUUUCAGCAGGGACGAUAGCGCAAGUGACGGUACACUAGCUAGAAGAAGCACCGGCUAACUACGUGCCACGCAGCCGCGUGUAAGUACGUAGGGUGCAUAGCGUCUGUACCUGGAAUGUGACUGGGCGUAACAGCAGUUCGUAGGGCGGUUAUGUCGCGAUCGUGUAGUGAAAACCAGCCAGCUCAACUAGCUGGCUUGCAGGCGAUACGAGGCAGACAUUGCAGUACUGCAUGGGGAGACUGGAAUAUCCUCUGGUGUAGCGGUGAAAUGCGCAGAUAUACAGGAGGAACACCGGUAGGCGGAAGGCGGGUCUCUGGGGCAGUAACUGACGCUGAGGAACGAAAGCGUGGGUAGCGAACAGGAUUAAGAUAUCCCUGGUAGUCCACGCCGUAAACGGUGGGACGCUAGGUGUGUGGUUCCUAUCCACGGAAUCCGUGCCGUAGCUAACGCAUUAAGCGUCCCCGUCCUGGGGAGUAC